UUUUUCUUCUUUCCUUUUUCACCCUUCUUCUCUCUCUUUAGCUCUCUUCCAUUCCGAUUCUUCUAUCUCUCUCUACUCUUCUUUCUCUCCUUUCUCUAUCGCUUCCUUUCCUCCUCCCCAAACCACUCUCCAUCCCCCCAUCUCCGCCGCCGCUUUCCUCCUCCUACGGAACCCUAAUCCGAUCACCCUCUUUCUCAUCUCAUCUCCUAUUUACGGAGGCUCCGCAGUUCUCUUCCGUUUCUAUAUCCUUAAUUCUGCUAGGAAGUCUUUUACUCCGGCCAAAGUUGUAUGUAAUCACACUGAUUUCAAGUUUGAUGAGAGUAAAUUCGGGGUGGUUUUUGGGGUUUCUCAUGGGGUUUCCCUGAAAUUGGUUGCCGAUGUUAAUGUAUUUGCGUUGUACUCUAUUUCGAAUAGUAGAGUUUGGGUUUUUGCUGUGAAA
rnacentral:misc_RNA from 1 species